AGUCCAUGAGUAGGGCAUUGCACCACCAACUUCUUAAAUCUUAGCCAUGUCUCAUAUAUAGGCUCACCUUCCAAGCAUUUAAAACCUUGGAUCUUAUCCAUGAGUAU